ACAUCAAAAUCCUCUAGCACAAAACAAAGCAUAGCCUUCAAGAAACUAAGCAUUCCCCAUGCUCUCUAUAAUCGGUGCCGCUCUGAGUCUUCAAGUGAUCCUCAAAGCACACUCUAAUGCAACUUAGCAAGCCCUCGUGUGAGCGCCAUCCUGCCUCGGGACCACUUUCAAUUCCAAACAAGAUCAAGAAUUGUGACGCACAGCAGAGUCUUACCCGACCAGUAGUAGGCCCGCCUCUAGGAAAAAUAGUGUCGCCUACUCCUCUAGUCCCUCAUUGUCCCGAGAUGCACCAGCUCUACAAGUGAUCUUCGAAGCAACAAGCAUGGUGCUUUGGAUUGGUGUUCAGCGAAAGAAGGUUCUACACCUAGGUGAAUUAACACCAACCUCCCGCUUGAUCUUGUUUCGGGAAACAAGCAUAACCCACUAGUUAAAAUUGUAUGGCCUAUGUGGAAAGUGUUGAAUUGAUACUCAUGUUGCUAGAUUCACAAUCUAUAAGAUUAUUUGGAAGUUCUCAUCCUUGUAUAUUUGUUUGG
rnacentral:lncRNA from 1 species